CGGGGAAUGGUCCAAUGGCAGGAUUCACGCAUGGGGUGCGUGCGGCGGGAGUUCGAUUCUCCCUUCCCCGA
rnacentral:tRNA from 13 species